CUCUCUCUCUGAGCAAAUCGCCGCCUUCAAUUGCCUCAAACCUCCGACUAACUUCAGCCGCCACCGUCGACGACGGCCGCCCAUGGAAUCCAUGCCGCCUUCGGAUGAGAAUGGUUGGGUGAAUCCUCGUCGGCCCUUAAAUCGCCCUCCCGUUGAUUUAAUCCUUAAGAAUCUCCGACCUCCACCUCGUAAUCCCUCUCCGAUCUCCACCUCGAAGUCGAAAGAAACUCCGAUCUCCACCUCCAAGACCGAAGAAACUCCGAUUUGUAUGUUUUCGUCGUAUCCCUCUUCGAUCUCCACUAAUCACCCGAGAUAUGGCCGUCUCCGCCGCCCCCCCACCGCGAUGACCGACGAGAGCGGAGGGCUCGCCGGCGGCGGACGGCUCGUCGAUGGCAGAGCUCUCUGUAAAUCUGCCGGUGGAUCUCUCAGUAAA
rnacentral:lncRNA from 1 species